rnacentral:tRNA from 1 species
GGUCAGAUAGCCAAGUGGUUUAGGCAACACACCUAGAAUUGUGUCUCAGCUAACACUGAGGUCCCAGGUUCGAAUCUGGGUCUGAUCA